AAAGUACUCCCUCCGUCCCAAAAUUCUUCUCUUAGAUUUGUCUAGAUACGGAUGUAUCAAGUCACAUUUUAGUAUUAGAUACAUCCGUAUCUAGACAAAUCUAAGACAAGAAAUUUGGGACAGAGGGAGUAGUUG
rnacentral:pre_miRNA from 1 species